rnacentral:rRNA from 1 species
UACGUAGGGAGCAAGCGUUGUCCGGAAUCAUUGGGCGUAAAGCGCGCGUAGGUGGCCCGGUAAGUCCGCUCUGAAAGUCACAGGCUCAACCUGUGAAAGCGGGUGGAUACUGCCGGGCUAGAGUCCGGAAGAGGCGAGUGGAAUUCCUGGUGUAGCGGUGGAAUGCGCAGAUAUCAGGAAGAACACCCGUGGCGAAGGCGGCUCUCUGGGACGGUACUGACGCUGAGACGCGAAAGCGUGGGGAGCGAACAGG